rnacentral:rRNA from 1 species
CCUACGGGUGGCAGCAGUAGGGAAUUUUGCGCAAUGGGCGAAAGCCUGACGCAGCAACGCCGCGUGAUCGAGACGCCCUUUGGGGUGUAAAGAUCUGUCAGUGGGGACGAAACUUGACGGUACCCACAGAGGAAGCACCGGCUAACUCCGUGCCAGCAGCCGCGGUAAUACGGAGGGUGCAAGCGUUGUCCGGAGUCAUUGGGCGUAAAGAGUUCGUAGGCGGGACGUAAAGUCUGGUGUGAAAGGCAGAGGCUCAACUUCGGUACGGCACUGGAUACUUGCGGGCUAGAAUGCGGUAGAGGUAAGGGGAAUUCCUGGUGUAGCGGUGAAAUGCGUAGAUAUCAGGAGGAACAACGGGGGCGAAGGCGGUUUACUGGGCCGUAAUUGACGCUGAGGAACGAAAGCCAGGGUAGCAAAUGGGAUUAGAUACCCUUGUAGUC